CUGCAGACACACCUAAAAAUGCCAUUGAUGAGCUCCCUGUUGAACAUGUCCUUUGAGGAUUGAGCUGGCAAUGGCAUGCAGCAUCUUGCUCCUUUCUGGUGGCCUUCACAAAACAAGUGCAUUGUUUUUUUUUUUUGAGAAUGGAACAAGUGCAUUGUUAAGGUACAGAGCCACCGAUGGGCCAAGCCUGGGCUAGCUCAACCCAAUCGCCAUGCUCAUGUAUUUUAUUUUAUCUUUUGCCUUUUCUUUGGAAGAAUUGCACGGGAGGUUUGGGCCUGGCCUUGGCCGUAGGUCUUUCUUCGUCUAAAGUUUUUUAAAAAUAUAUAUUGCUAAAAAUGAGAUGUGUUUAGGUACACCCUUCUCUCUCUCCGUCCCUUCCUUCCUCCAAGAAAGGACACUUUUCUCCAAAUUAAACUUUCAAAUGCAUUAAGUAUCAUUUCCCUCACCUGAACAUUCAAAUGCACCUUAACAAGUGUGUGUUGUACUUACAUGGGUUGAAUAUAAGUUUUGUUCCGUUAUCUGAUGAUUGUGGAUACCGGUCGAAAGACCGUUUGGAAAAGAAAAAAAAAAGUUUGCCUCAAUGAAGGUUGUUGAGGCGAUAGAAGAUC
rnacentral:lncRNA from 1 species